UGGCUGGCCAAGAAAAAUUGGCAUCUGGCAUACCUAGGAAUCAUUCAAAAUAGUUUAAUAGGAAGGACAUUUUGAGGCCAGCCAGCAUUAUGACAUUUGUGGGUCCUACGGCAUUUCACCUUGGAAACAUUUUCCUGGGCAUCUAAAAGUAUUGUGGACCUGAGACACUGUGCUUACAGGGCCUACUGGUUUUCACUGUAUGAGACCGAGAAUGGAUUAUGGCAGUUCCUCUUACCUCCGCUGCAUACUUGACUCCAUCCACGGUGUGCUCAGAGCCAUGAUCAUCCGAAGAGCCCCAGUGAAGAUGAAACUGGCGAAGUCGGUAGGGUCCAGGGAGAGGACCCCCUCUCAGCACUGUGAUUCAGAUAAGCUUGGUCAACAGUGAAUUCAUGCUUCUUUUACAGAGCUCUACUUUAACCAAGUGCUCUUAGAGCCAAGGCUUAAUGGACAAAAUGUGGUCAGUUUGCUGGGUGGAUGGUGCCACUCCCAGGACACUGGACUCCUCACAAAAUGAAGUCUGGGGAUAUGUCAAGAUAAAUGAUUGUUCUUUUCUGUCUUUCUUAUUUUGUUUGCUUGUUUCAUUAUUAUUGAAACAUCAUUUUAACAUUUAGGAAAGCAA
rnacentral:lncRNA from 1 species